rnacentral:tRNA from 1 species
AGUCAGGAUGGCCGAGUGGUCUAAGGCGCCAGACUCAAGUUCUGGUCUUCGAGAGAGGGCGUGGGUUCAAAUCCCACUUCUGACAUG